rnacentral:rRNA from 1 species
GAUGAACGCUGGCGGCGUGCCUAAUACAUGCAAGUCGAGCGAACGGACGAGAAGCUUGCUUCUCUGAUGUUAGCGGCGGACGGGCGAGUAACACGUGGAUAACCUACCUAUAAGACUGGGAUAACUUCGGGAGACCGGAGCUAAUACCGGAUAAUAUUUUGAACCGCAUGGUUCAAAAGUGAAAGACGGUCUUGCUGUCACUUAUAGAUGGAUCCGCGCUGCAUUAGCUAGUUGGUAAGGUAACGGCUUACCAAGGCAACGAUGCAUAGCCGACCUGAGAGGGUGAUCGGCCACACUGGAACUGAGACACGGUCCAGACUCCUACGGGGGGCAGCAGUAGGGAAUCUUCCGCAAUGGGCGAAAGCCUGACGGAGCAACGCCGCGUGAGUGAUGAAGGUCUUCGGAUCGUAAAACUCUGUUAUUAGGGAAGAACAUAUGUGUAAGUAACUGUGCACAUCUUGACGGUACCUAAUCAGAAAGCCACGGCUAACUACGUG